rnacentral:rRNA from 1 species
AUUGAACGCUGGCGGCAUGCCUUACACAUGCAAGUCGAACGGUAACUGGUUAAGCUGACGAGUGGCGAACGGGUGAGUAAUGUAUCGGAACGUGCCCAGUCGUGGGGAUAACUGCUCGAAAGAGCAGCUAAUACCGCAUACGACCUGAGGGUGAAAGCGGGGGAUCGCAAGACCUCGCGCGAUUGGAGCGGCCGAUAUCAGAUUAGGUAGUUGGUGGGGUAAAGGCCUACCAAGCCUACGAUCUGUAGCUGGUCUGAGAGGACGACCAGCCACACUGGGACUGAGACACGGCCCAGACUCCUACGGGAGGCAGCAGUGGGGAAUUUUGGACAAUGGACGCAAGUCUGAUCCAGCCAUGCCGCGUGCGGGAAGAAGGCCUUCGGGUUGUAAACCGCUUUUGUCAGGGAAGAAAAGGGUGUUUCUAAUAAAGACGCCUCAUGACGGUACCUGAAGAAUAAGCACCGGCUAACUACGUGCCAGCCGCCGCAGUAAGAC